GUGAGUAUGUUAUAUGACUUUGUUCUUUUGAGAUCUCUGCUCGUCCAUUAUUUUUUGUUGCUUUUUUUUUUUUUGUCCCCCCAUCUUGGUUCCUCUGUUUUUUUAUUUUUCUUUUUUAUUUGAUAAGUCAUGUUGAUGGUGUUGGAUAAACAUUAGAUGGAUAUAAAAUGAGUGGUGGAAUGGAGAUUUAAAUCUUUUGUCAAUAUGAAUAUAUGAUUGAUUCUAUUCUAGGUUGUAUAACAAUGGAAAAGAGUAAUCAUGUCAUUUUUUUGUUUCAUUUUUGCUUCUUCAGUUUCCAUGACAUCUUUUCUGGCAACCUCUCCUAAUAUUAUUGAGAAAUUAAUGGUUAUGUGAAGGCUUGGGAUGAAAAGAAGGUCGAGUUGGGAACUCCGUCACAAAAAUGUUUCCUUCCCUUUCUCAUCGGCAUGCCAAACUGGUAAAUUUUGAUUCGACUUAUUCCCCAUUAAAUAUUUAAUCUUAUUUAUAUUGUAUCUUUUUUGGAGGCUCGAGAAGGGAUUCAUCAGCUCCAAAUAUUCAAAUUUGGGCCAGCGGUUAGCAAAUUGUUUAUAGCCUUCUCACCAUGGCUUUAGUUUGGUGAGGUGGAUAUUGAGGGUUCAUUGGUUGCUAGUAUUAUUUUAAACAAGAUAGAUUUGGUGACUGAGGCUGAAUUGGAGGUGUUGACAAAGCGAAUUCAGUUAGGCUUUCACCUUGUACAUAGAUAGAUUUUACUUGUAUCUUUGAAA